rnacentral:rRNA from 1 species
AUGGCUCAGGAUGAACGCUGGCGGCGUGCCUAACACAUGCAAGUCGAACGAGCGAGAGAUGAAACCUAGUGAUUCUCGAGCGAGUGGCGGACGGGUGAGUAACGCGUGGGUAACCUGCCUUACAGAGAGGGAUAACAGUUUGAAAAGACUGCUAAUACCGCAUAAGCACACAGUACCGCAUGGUACAGGGUGAAAAGAUUUAUCACUGUAAGAUGGACCCGCGUCUGAUUAGCCAGUUGGCAGGGUAACGGCCUACCAAAGCGACGAUCAGUAGCCGGCCUGAGAGGGCGACCGGCCACAUUGGGACUGAGACACGGACCCAAACUCCUACGGGAGGCAGCAGGUGGGGAAUAUUGCACAAUGGGGAAACCCUGAUGCAGCCGACGCCGCGUGAGUGAGGAAGUAUUUCGGUAUGUAAAGCUCUAUCAGCAGGGAAGAAGAUGACGGUACCUGCACAAGAAGCCCCGGCUAACUACGUGCCAGCCGCCGC